rnacentral:rRNA from 1 species
UACGAAGGGGGCGAGCGUUGUUCGGAAUUACUGGGCGUAAAGGGUGCGUAGGCGGCGCGGUAAGUCGGGUGUGAAAUUUCGAGGCUUAACUUCGAAACUGCAUUCGAUACUGCCGUGCUUGAGGACUGGAGAGGAGACUGGAAUUUACGGUGUAGCGGUGAAAUGCGUAGAUAUCGUAAGGAAGACCAGUGGCGAAGGCGGGUCUCUGGACAGUUCCUGACGCUGAGGCACGAAGGCCAGGGGAGCAAACGGG